UACGAAGGGGGCUAGCGUUGCUCGGAAUCACUGGGCGUAAAGCGCACGUAGGCGGAUUCUUAAGUCAGAGGUGAAAUCCCAAGGCUCAACCUUGGAACUGCCUUUGAUACUGGGGAUCUUGAGUCCGGAAGAGGUGAGUGGAACUGCGAGUGUAGAGGUGAAAUUCGUAGAUAUUCGCAAGAACACCAGUGGCGAAGGCGGCUCACUGGUCCGGUACUGACGCUGAGGUGCGAAAGCGUGGGGAGCAAACAGG
rnacentral:rRNA from 1 species